AAAUAGUCGAGGUUGAAUGGAAGAACAGCUGACAGACAAGAUCAUCAGGACAAAGAUGUCGGGAAAUAUUUCCCCUCAGAUCCCAAGUGUUGAGGCUGAAGAGCCCAAGGAAGUAGCAAAAAUUAUUGAAGAGGAUCACACCAAAGGAGUUACUGAAAAUGAUCUGGAGAAAGUUGAACAUGUUGAGGAAAGCAAAGAAGACUCUUGUGAGGGUGUGGUCACAACUGAUAUGCUAAAGGAAGAGGAAAACUUGGAAAAUGAGGGAAAGAAAGAAGAAGGGAAAUUUAAAGAAGAACAACAGAAGAUAUGGGAUCAACUUGACAAUGCAGAACGAGAACUUCGGUACAACAAACUUCAGCUUCUGCUGAACAAGAGUACAGUGUAUACCCAAUACUUAAUAAAAAGGAUGGAAAGACAAAAACAAGAAGACCAAAAAAGGAGAGAACGUCUUGCUAAAAAAAUGGCAAAGAAGGUAGGUAAAAUGAUGGAUUUUGUGGGAUUUUUAGGUCACCUGAGUCACUCUGGUGAACUUUUACAAUUGGCCUUUGUCUGCUGUUGUGCAUGUAUUAACAAUUAAUUAUUUUCAACUUCUUAUUAACUACAUGGCCAAUUUCUUUCAAAUUUUGUGUGAUGCAUCUUUGGAGUAAGGGAAACAUGAAUUUUAAAUUUCAUGACACUUGCCCCAUAGGAGCCCUUAGGGCAGGGCAAAGAGUUAUGGAGUUAUCUUCCCUUGCUUGAUCAUAUUCAAUAAUAAAUCAUUGUAAUUAAUGUAAUAAUUAAAGAAGUUGUGAAAGAAUCAUUAAAAGAGUUUUACAAGUAUUUUUACAUAGAACAAAACAACCAAAACAGUUUUUGAAAUUGCUUUGAAAUGCAAAAAUGGUCGUUGAAAACAGGCAUGUUGAAAGCACGGGACCUUAAAACACUGGCCACGUUAGACAGGAUGUCGCUUAAAUGAGUUUAAAUAUAGGGAAAAACUAAACGGGUGGAAUUCAAAACUGGUCGCUUAUGGUGAGUGGCCACUGAUUAAAGAUGGCCGUAACAGCAGGUGCGAAUAUAUAUGGGUAAGGAAAUAUUUAGAGUUGUUCUUUUUUUUUUAGACUCAAGCAGAGACUUCAGAUCAGAAGAACUCAACAGAUGAAAGGCGAUCACACAGAACCAAGACCUCCAUGUACAGCUCUCCGUCAUCCUCUCAAGGUGAUCUUUAUCAUUAAGUCUUAAUCAAAUUAAAAAUGAUAGCAUACAUAUGAAUUGCUGUAAGACCCAGAAGUUAUUAUGUAAAGCACAUUUGAUAAAUCAUUGAAAACACCAAAUUCCUUUGUUGGCAAUUUAUUUUGGUGUUUGAUUUUGUGUAAGUUUAGUGAUUGUUUCCAAAGAUAAUAAAUAUCAACUUUUUUAGCUCACCUGAGCUAAAAGCUCAAGUGAGCUUUACUGAUCACAGUUUGUCCAUCGUCCGUCUGCCUGUCUGUCCAUCUGUCUGUAAACUUUUCACAUUUUGAUCUUCUUCUCUAAAACCACUGGGCAAUUUCAACCAAAUUUGCCACAAAGCAUCCUUAUGAUAUGGUAAAUAUAAAUUGCAGUGAUGAAAGACCAACUUUACUCAAAGUGGAGAAAACCUC
rnacentral:misc_RNA from 1 species